UAGUUGAUCAAACUUUCUUUCAAUAAAUGUAUAAGUAGUAGUAUUUGGCUUAUUCAGAAAAUAGUGGGGGCACUAGCCCACACACUAGUGAACCUAGCUCCGCCCCUAGAUGGUUGCAUUAAACAUGCAGGUUUGUAUUGUUGGAGUGGGAGCUGACUGUGAAGAAGAAAACAAGUUCUAUUUGGGACGAAGAGUUUGUAUUCCGAUUAACCAUUCCAGAGCUUGCUUUGCUCCAGAUCGAACUGAAGGAUAAAGAUAUGACGACAGAUGAUUUUUCCGGACAGACCUGUUUGCCUGUAUCAGAGCUAAGACAUGGAUUUCGGUUUGUUCGUUUGUGUGACUGAAAGGGGAAGAAAUUUAACUCUGUUAAGCUUUUACUUCGCUUUCACGUUGAAACUACAAAUAUAUUGUAGAUUUCAUUGAUCUAAAGUGUCAAAAAAAAACAUUUGAAUUAUCUUACUCUGCAAUCUGCAACCUGCUGCUUACACACUACAUAAAUUGUGUGGAACCCGCAGUUGUAUUUGUAUACAUUUGAAAGUGAUCAUGGUUCAGCCUUCCAUAUCCAUCAUCUGCUUCAUACUGCCUUGCAUUACAACAAGCGAAAGAAAAAUCAUGUAUAUCACUAAUUAAACUUGCUUAAAUGUAUAGUAUUAAAAAUGUAUGAUAAUUUUCUCACCUGUAUGGUUGAUUUUUGAUGAUGUAAUGUAACAUGUUGAUACUUACAGCAACUAAG